GGAGGGGAAGACCCCAAAGAGCGAGCACGGCGCCACAGCCUGAUUUCCAGCGGGAGCACUGCGCCCCAGGUGGAGAAGCUGAAACACAGAGAAUUUCAGUAACACGGACAAGGUCACGCCAGUUACCAAAUGGCAGUUGAUGACUGACUUUUACAUUGGACUAUAGAAUAAUGGAAGAGUGAAGAGUGUGUAACUGUGGAAAUUU